GACGAACGCUGGCGGCGCGCUUAACACAUGCAAGUCGAGCGAUGAAACUUUAACAUAACCCUUCGGGGCGAAGAUAAAGUGGAGUAGCUGCGGACGGGUGAGUAACACGUGAGUAACCUGCCUUAGACAUUGGGAUAGCCUCGGUAAACCGGGAUCAAUACCAAAUAAAAUCAUAAUGACACAUGUCAUAAUGAUCAAAACUCCGGUGGUCUAAGAUGGACUCUAGUCCCAUUAGCUAGUUGGGAGAGUAAAAGCCUACCAAGGCGACGAUGGGUGGCCGGGCUGGGAGGGUGACCGGACACAUUGGAACUGAGAACCGGUCCAAACUCCUACGGGAGGCAGCAGUGGGGAAUAUUGCACACUGGAGGGAACUCUGAUGCAGCGACGCCGCGUGAACGAAGAAGGCUUUCGAGUCGUAAAGUUCUUUUAUAUGGGAAGAUAAUGACGGUACCAUAAGAAAAAGCCCCGGCUAACUACGUG
rnacentral:rRNA from 1 species